rnacentral:rRNA from 1 species
GAUGAACGCUGGCGGCGUGCCUAACACACGCAAGUCGAACGGUUAAGGCGGCUUCGGCCGCGAAUAAAGUGGCGAACGGGUGAGUAGCGCGUGACCGACCUUCCCCCCGCACCGGGACAACCGCGGGAAACCGCGGCUGAUACCGGGUACUCCGGGGCCCUCGCAUGGGGGCCCCGGGAAAGCUCCGGCGGCGGGGGAUGGGGUCGCGUCCCAUCAGGUAGUAGGCGGGGCAAUGGCCCACCUAGCCGACGACGGGUAGCCGGGUUGAGAGACCGACCGGCCACAUUGGGACUGAGAUACGGCCCAGACUCCUACGGGAGGCAGCAGUGGGGAAUUUUGCGCAAUGGGGGCAACCCUGACGCAGCAACGCCGCGUGCGGGACGACGGCCUUCGGGUUGUAAACCGCUUUCAGCAGGGAAGAACCUAAGACGGUACCUGCAGAAGAAGCCCCGGCUAACUACGUGCCAGCCGCCGCCGUAA